GCUUCAGGGCCAGCCGCCUGUUCUCAGGGCUCAGCUCCUGCCCCCAGUGAGCAAAGAGAGACGAAUCUGUGAACGCAUCUGCAGGGUUGUCUUCCAAUUUUGGUGGAGCUUCUAUGAGACAAAAAGACAAAAGGAAAUGGUCUAUUCAAAAAAGCAGCAGUGUUUCACAUCAAAGUUUUGCCAUUGUGAAAGCCCUUUCCAAGGAAACAGAACUGCUUUACAAAACCCACAGUGUAGCCUUAUCUGCUGAUUUCAUUAAGUGGCAAUAACAAGAAAGUAGAUACAGUAAGUCAGCACAACCACUGUCUGAAAAAAAUACCCCGACGUCAGCUAAAGACAUGCAGCAGGCAUCAAUACCUGCACUAAAUGAUACAUGCUCAGGUGGAACAGGCUGCUCACAAAAAGAAGAAUGAGCUGGAAACGAUGCCAGAGAGUAGGAGGAAAGGCUUUGAUCAUGUUCUCCAUGCCUGACCCUCUGAUUUCCCAGCCCAGAGAGGAAGGAACAGGCCAUGAUUACAGAGGUGAUGCCACAGCUGUGCUUUGCCUCACCGUGCAAGGUGGACUCAUGAUGUGCAUCUAAGCAGACUAUCAUUAAAGGCAAAACAAAGCUCAGCUCUCUCAUGAGGCCUAAUAGCCUCAAACUCUGGCUCUGGCUCCCAGCACUCAAAAGAUCUAUAGUCUAUUUCCUGCAGGCAGUAGCCUUUCAGCUUUCUGUGGAAGGAAGGAUCUUUUCAUCCUUUUCCUCUACAGGUGCCUUUCAUCUGUCAGGCAAUCCAUACCGUCUUGCCAGAGGCCAUUUGGUGUGACAGGUGAAAAUCCCAGACUGACACUGGAUCACAGAGCCACAACACAGUGUUUAGAAGUGGGAAAACUUCACCUAAACUUUGUCACACAGCAAGAUAGAGAGAGGAAAAUCCCACUUUUAAAAUCUAUUGUAAUUCAUGAAAACAUUUUAUCAGCAUUCUCAAAAAUUGCAGUUUGACAAUUCCUGUCUUGCAAGGCUGCUCCCAUGUAGGACCCUGCUAUAAAUCCUGUGUCAGAUGAAUGAACUCCUAAAUGAAAAAUCCUUGUUUGCAUGAUGUGGUGAAACACUGACAAGCAACAGCAGAAAGAGCUCACCAAGAUGCAUCACUGCAUCAACCAUGGUGAAAAGUAUACACAGAAGACAAAACUGAAAGUUACAGUAACAGAUCUUCCCUCAAAGAAGUUAUUUUACUUAUUCUCUCACCUCCCCAAAAAAUCACAAUACUUCUGGCAAGGUGUCAACAUCAAUAUAGCUUUCUGCUAAAAACUGAACUUCACUGUUUUGAAUAUUCAAGUUAAGUUAAUUCCUCUUGACAUUCUAGUCUUGUUCCCAAAGAAAUUACUUCAGCAGAAGUACUCCUAAGAAAAAAUGCAGUAUCUAAGUGGGUUAAAUCCUGCUACUACUGCUUACUUACAGCUUAGUAAAUCAUACUGAAGUUUCCAGGGCUCCUCAGAGAGACUGACAGAGCCUGUCAGACUCUGUCUGCAGAGAUGACAGAGUGCAGAGCCCUAAUCUUAAGAAAAAAUAAACCUGAUGUGAACUCCAUACAAAACACACAACCAUCCUGAGAGGAUUCAGCUCCAUAUAGCCCUGCACACUCUGUAGUUAGUGCAAACACCAGACAGAUCAGACAGACAGGGAAUGGGAAAAAAACCCAACAAAAAAAAGGUGAUCCCCUCCUCAACAGCUGUCAAGAAAUCAUGAUAACACUUGAAUAGUAUACAAUCAGACAAAACUUUAAAGAUUAAAUUGUGUAUGACAGCACAUUCAGAAGGAAAUGCUAAAACUCUCUCAAUUUUAAAAUUUUUUAGAACUUGAAACACAAUUUAUAUGCUAUUAAUUUAUAUGCUACCUUUUACUGCAUUUCAAGCAGCCACUACACAUACAUAAUGGUAUAAGCUAUUAGCAUGCUACUAACAUAUAUUUUCAUUUGUUUCUGUUUGGAGUUUUUUUCUGAUAAAUACUCCCAUGCUUAUUGUGCAUAUUACAGUGGAAAUUCAGUCUAGUUUUGCUGCUUAGUGUAGGUGCAGAAGAAGGCAUUACAAGUGACCUCGCCUGAUAAAUCACAGUUGUACUAAUUACUAAAGAAGAAGAACAGCCUUGCCCUUAAUGAGUCGCAGCUGUGACUAAUAAAGAUAAGUGUGAUAAAAAGGGUGGGUUGGCUGGUCAGGGAGAGCCUGGAGGAAGAAGGAAUGAUCCAGACACACACACAAGAGGAACAAAACAUAGAAGAGUUGCUGCUGCUGCUUCAGAAGCUCUGCUGUGAGGUCAGGCUGGGUCUGACGGAGUCAGGGCCUGCUGUUGGAGCCUGCAGUCACAGUUGAGCUAGGUAAAAGCCUGUGGUCAGAGGCAGCAAGGAAACGCUUGCAGUCAUAUUCCAGCAGGAAUAGCCUGCAGUCAGAGCUUGUCAAAGAAACCAACAGUAGGAGCUUGCUGUAGUCAGAGUCAGGAUGGCUAAGCUGUAAAGAUGAGUCAACUGGGACCCUUUCCACGUUGUAAAAUGAGUCUGUGUUUUGGCUCAUUUCUACUGCUAAUGAGAAGUCUGCUGCAACACUUGGCACCCAACAAGGACAGGCCUUCGUGUAGAGGAGGUGGAUGCUUCCUGCUCUGGCAGACUUUGAUAACCUGAAAGCUCCUAAAAAGUCGUGGCACAAAAGUUACUUUACACCAAAGAAAGAUGUCUGGAGAUGCCUCUCAAAUGUGCUCAGUGAUAGAGGGCAGUGUAAGAAACAGGAAAAUUUGGGUCUUAAGUGAAAUCUGAGGGUCUUGAGACUUCUGAAAAACUUGUUGAAGAGCUCUCAGAACUACAAACCAAUAAACUACUACUUAACCAGCAAAUUCCAUUACAGUGGUAAUUUCCUAUGGGUAAGAAAUGAAAUGUUUAUUAAAUUAUUGAGUCAAUGCUAAACUAUUUCAUGUGGGUGCACACAAAAAACACCUUAGAGGAACAAGGUCUUUGUAAGGGCUCUAUAUUUCUUCUGUAUGCACUCCAUCUGGCCCUAUUCUGAUCUGAAAACACUAUAAAUCCUGGGCACUGUUGUUCCUACUCUAUAUGUUCUCACAACCAGCCUAUUAAAUUCCCCUUUAGCCAUAACUGUGCCAUGGAUAUGAAUCUGGCCAGACAAGUUCAUGCAUCAUUCUGGCAAAGUUAACAUAAAGUUACUACAAGCCUGGACAACUUGAAAACAGAGUAAAGGCUUCUAAUUUAUUGGAAUGGGAUUAUCUAAGGAAAUACAAAUUUUUAAGUACAACCCAUUUCCCCUGGGAUGAAGACAGAACUCUCUGACAGGUACCAAUAUUGCACUUUUAAGGCUUUCUGUAUCCAUUGACAUCGAUAUUUUGUCAGGAAGCAAUUUUGUUUUCUCUAAUGCAUAAAAGGCAGAUUUUCAAAAAACACACUAUGAGGAUAUUAAAAACUAAGGAGUACCAAGUUCCGAGUCUUCAGACUUUCUGAAACAGAAUUUUCAGCUUGUCCUAAGCAAUACCUCUCUGCAUACCUUCUACUUGGAAACCAGAUUUUAAGACAGUAUCAAUUCAUUUAAAGCAACAUAUAGUUUCUUAACUACAGACCUCCAAGAUAAAGGGUGGCCAGAAUAACUAUUUAUUGACUAUAACUUAAAGUUUCAUUAAAAGAAGUUGGGUUUUAAUGGCAAAGUUAUUUUUCUCAUUUCAAGUAAUUCUGUACUUAAGGCAUUAACUUUAAUCUGUAGGUAAACAUACCACAA